ACACACACAAGAGACGAUUACAA
rnacentral:snRNA from 1 species